CAUCGCCAGGCACGCCACCAAACGGGACAUUUGUUUGAUCAUGUUUUUAUGGGAUAGCUUUCCAUUCUCAAGUUUGAAAAUAGUAGUUUGGGCCAGUGAUCGCAGGCCAGGAACACGUUAUGUUGGUUAAAAUUUUAAAUGUUGAUUGAAGCGAUUUACUACUACUAUUAUCCAUUGACUGUAUUAUAUAUGCGUGAAUUGUUGGUACUUGAUAAAAUAAAUUAAUAAAAGAAAAAGCCCGUUAAAAUUGCAAAGGUAACGAAAAUAUAAUUGUAAAAAUUGUAAUGUUAAAAUUAUUCUAGCGAUGUAA